GCUUAUCACCAUUCCAGAUUGAAUAUACCCGAUCUCGUCUGAUCUCGGAAGUCAAGCAAUCUCGGGCUUGGUUAGUACAAAUGUUUUGUUCCAUUUUACCUCUGUUUUGCUACGCA
rfam:Ciona savignyi cont_37886, whole genome shotgun sequence.